rnacentral:lncRNA from 1 species
CUUUUGCUGUAGAAACCAGUAAACUUUACAAGUGCUUCUCCAGCAGGGUUGUUUUCUGGUGGUCACCAGGAGUCUGUGUGCACUCUGGGAGGGAGCAGAGGUCUGAGGGCACUGUUGUGGCCAACCAGCAAAUGGUGUGUGAGGGGCUGCUUGGUUUGCAGCCCAACUGCUGCAGUGAUGCAGCUGUGUCCUCCUGUAAUUGUGAGCAUGGCCUUUCUGGUUUAUGUCUUUUGGCUGGAUGUUUGCUGAACUUGCAGAUUCCCAUUUUAGGAGUAUUUAAAUGAACGUAUUUCAGCCAUUACGGGAAUGAAUUCAGGAGAAACUACAACUUGGAACAGGUCUGGAUCUCAUUGCUACAGAAACUAUCCCCGUCAUACUUGCUGGUUUGACACAGAACGCAGCCCCCUGGAGAGGCUUGGGCUCAGGCAUUGGCUGUGUGGGACAGACAGGAGAUGCUAUCUCAGCAGAGGCCUGGCAGGUGAAAUUCAUCUUUUCUUCUGUAGCGGCACAGAUCACUUGCAUGCACAGCUCUUAAAUUUCAAGAGCACUUCAAGAGUUUUAUUGCGUCAGUUUAAAGAAGGAGGAGUAAUAUGUACUUUUUUUUUUUUUUUUGGGCUCAUGAAAUCUGUCCAGUGAUGGAAGAAAACUUGGAGGAGCCAGGUGCAGAAAUCCCCAGCGGGCUUCCUGUCUGUUUCCAGUGGUCAGAAAGAUGGAGUUUCAAUCAAAACUGAUCACCAGAAACAUUUCAAAGAGGACCUUCUUGCAGAAUCUCAAGCAUCUUCCUUUUAUCGUGUUGAAUUCUUCUUUGUUAAUGCUGCCUUCUCUUCAUGAUGGAAAUGAUAUGUCUGCCUAAGGUGAACACCUGAUGUACAUGGUCAGUAGAUGUUGGAUCAGAUGAAUCCCCCCAGAUUUGUGAGGAAGUCUCUGGAUGGAAAGCCGCACUGGUUUCUGCUCAGUGUUUCUUGAGAAGGCAGCCUAAUUCAAGUUUUGUUGUGGAUACUUUGCACUGCUGUUCUUCAAGUGGAGAAUUAAAAGUGAAGCCUGAGAAAUCCACAGAUGUCUUCCAAGUGAACCUGGGCACCAACAGGGAGGAAUUCACACAUGCAGAACCCAAAUAAUCUAUUGCUUUCAGUGACAGCAAUCCAGUAGUCCAGUCCUGGAAUAAUAGGAUGUAACACCAUCCUUUAUACAAAUGGAUUAUGAAUAGAAAGGCUAUAAAGAAAUGUCUCAACAAUACUUCAAACAUCAAAUAACCACGAGUCUGCAUAAAUAAAACAUGA